rnacentral:rRNA from 1 species
AGAGUUUGAUCAUGGCUCAGAACGAACGCUGGCGGCGUGCUUAACACAUGCAAGUCGAGUGCGCGCCUGUAGCAAUACAGGUGGCGCACGGCGCACGGGUGCGUAACACGUGGGUAACCUGCCCUUUGGUGGGGAAUAACUCCGCGAAAGCGAAGCUAAUUCCGCAUAAGAUCCGCAAGGAUGAAAGCCGAAAGGCGCCGAUGGAGGGGCCCGCGCACGAUUAGCUAGUUGGUAGGGUAAUGGCCUACCAAGGCUUUGAUCGUUAGCUGGUCUGAGAGGAUGGCCAGCCACACUGGAACUGAGACACGGUCCAGACUCCUACGGGAGGCAGCAGUGGGGAAUCUUGCACAAUGGGCGAAAGCCUGAUGCAGCGACGCCGCGUGGGGGAUGAAGCUUCUCGGAGUGUAAACCCCUUUCGAUCCGGACGAAUGCCCGCAAGGGAUUGACGGUACGGAUAUAAGAAGCCCCGGCUAACUACGUGCCAGCAGCCGCGGUAAUACGUAGGGGGCCAGCGUUGUUCGGAAUUACUGGGUGUAAAGGGUUCGUAGGCGGUGCGGCAAGUUGGGAGUGAAAUCUCUGGGCUCAACCCAGAGGCUGCUUCCAAAACUGCCGUGCUUGAGUGUGGGAGAGGCUCGUGGAAUUGCAGGUGUAGCGGCGAAAUGCGUAGAUAUCUGCAGGAACACCCGUGGCGAAAGCGGCGAGCUGGACCACUACUGACGCUGAAGAACGAAAGCUAGGGGAGCAAACAGGAUUAGAUACCCUAGUAGUCC